AGUGUAGGCGGCUUCGUAAGUCGGAUGUGAAAGCCCCGGGCUUAACCUGGGAAUUGCAUUCGAUACUGCGCGGCUAGAGUUUGAUAGAGGAAAGUGGAAUUCCAGGUGUAGCGGUGAAAUGCGUAGAUGUCUGGAGGAACACCAGUGGCGAAGGCGGCUUUCUGGAUCAAAACUGACGCUGAGGCUCGAAAGCGUGGGGAGCAAACAGGAUUAGAUACCCUGGUAGUC
rnacentral:rRNA from 1 species